AGUAGGAUAGCUGGGUCAAAUGGUGGUUCCAUUAGAAAUUUUCUGAGGAAUCUCCAUACUGCUUUCCAUAGUGGUUACACCAAUUUGCAGUUCUACCAGCAAU
rnacentral:pre_miRNA from 1 species